GAAGGGGUGUAUUUAUUAGAUAAAAAACCAAUGCCCUUCGGGGCUCUUUGGUGAUUCAUGAUAACUUAACGGAUCGCAUGGCCUUGCGCCGGCGACGGUUCAUUCAAAUUUCUGCCCUAUCAACUUUCGAUGGUAAGGUAUUGGCUUACCAUGGUUUCAACGGGUAACGGGGAAUUAGGGUUCGAUUCCGGAGAGGGAGCCUGAGAAACGGCUACCACAUCCAAGGAAGGCAGCAGGCGCGCAAAUUACCCAAUCCCGACACGGGGAGGUAGUGACAAUAAAUACUGAUACAGGGCUCUUUUGGGUCUUGUAAUCGGAAUGAGUACAAUUUAAACCCCUUAACGAGGAACAAUUGGAGGGCAAGUCUGGUGCCAGCAGCCGCGGUAAUUCCAGCUCCAAUAGCGUAUAUUAAAGUUGUUGCAGUUAAAAAGCUCGUAGUUGAACCUUGGGCCUGGCUGGCCGGUCCGCCUCACCGCGUGUACUGGUCCGGCCGGGCCUUUCCUUCUGGAGAGCCGCAUGCCCUUCACUGGGUGUGUCGGGGAACAGGACUUUUACUUUGAAAAAAUUAGAGUGUUCAAAGCAGCCUUUGCUCGAAUACGUUAGCAUGGAAUAAUAGAAUAGGACGUGCGGUCCUAUUUUGUUGGUUUCU
rnacentral:rRNA from 1 species